GACGAACGCUGGCGGCGUGCUUAACACAUGCAAGUCGAACGGAAAGGCCCUGCUUGCAGGCUCUUCGAGUGGCGAACGGGUGGGUAACACGUGGGUGAUUUGCCCUGCACUUCGGGAUGAGCCAGGAAAACUGGGUCUAAUACCUGAUAGGAGACAUUAUUUGUGGGAUGGUUGGAAAGUUUUUUCGGGGUUGGAUGAGCUGGCGGCCUAUCAGCUUGUUGGUGGGGUAAUGGCCUACCAAGGCGGCGACGGGUAGCCGGCCAGAGGGGGUGGACGGCCACAUUGGGACUGAGAUACGGCCCAGACGGCUACGGGAGGCAGCAGUGGGGAAGAUUGCACAAUGGGCGCAAGCCUGAUGCAGCGAGGCCGCGGGGGGGAUGACGGCCUUCGGGUUGAAAACUCGUUUCGCUAGGGAAGAAGCUUUUUGUGACGGUACCUAGAGAAGAAGCACCGGCUAACUACGUG
rnacentral:rRNA from 1 species